CCUAUUUCACUGCCUCGUGGUUUAAUUUUCAGCCUGAACCAGAUAAUGAAGAGCAGAGAGCUGAAGGAAAAGAAGAAGAAAAUCGUGUUGGCCAGGCCAGAACAGAUGGAUCUUUUUCUGAACAAGUUGUUCAUGUCACCCAGACUGGAACUCUCGAUGGCAAUCAGGCUGCUGCCACCUGGUGGAGAAAAGCAGGAUGGUCCAGCAGCAAAUACCUCCCAGAGGACAAAGCCAGGAAAGUAGAGGUGUUUGACAUCUAGACCUCCUCAGAUCCGUUGGCGACUAUGGCGUUCCUCUUCCUUCCAAAGCCCCAUUUGCUCCCCCAUUCUCCUUCUGUGCCUUGGACAUGUGUGUAAGUCAGUGAACAAGUGUGCAAACAGGUGGUAUGGUGUAUGCCACACGUAAGAGCCUCAGUGUGACUACUCCUCAGACCACUGCGGCCUUGGACACAAUACACUGUAUCUAAUAACUCUCCCUGGGGCCCAAGGCCUCCAGAUUCCAGAGGUCUUCCCUUUGAGACGAUCCGAUCUCCCAAGUCAGGGGUCAGCCAUGUUUCCUAGUCCCUAGGGAGGGAUAGUGUUUUAGGUUCUGUGGGCCACCACUGGGCUCUGCUGCAACCUUCGAUGCUGUGGCUGGAGCACUCAGGAGCACAGAUAAGGAGGGAGGGAUAACCCCCAAGAAUUGAAGGGGUACUGUUAGCAGAUAUCCUGCCUAACUGAGAGACCACAAAAUCUGUGUGCUUCCAGUACUUGGGACAUAGACUGCAGAAGGAUGAUGUCAUAGCCAUCCUCAGCUACAUAAUAAGUUGGAGGCCAGCCUGGGAUACAUGAGACCUUGCCUCAAAACAAAACCACACUCACCCAGAGCUAGAGCCUUAGCUCCCAGCUUGGUCUUCUAACUCAGCACCAUGAGCUCGGUUCCUUUUUCCAUUUACUUGACCAACACGGAUUCCCAUAAGAACAAAGGGACAAGAAGAGGGAGGGUUUCCUGGCCUAAGCUAUGGCAGAGGAGAGAAUACACAUACGUAUGUUCACAAACAUGUACACCAAACUGCACUCCAGUGCAGAAUGCCAAGCGCCUCCCAGGAAUGUGGAUGCAUGUUGCUCAGACCAGGAAGAGACAGUGGGGAUAGGGGACAAGGGACCAUGUGUUGCCCAAGAGAAGCAAACGAAUCAAGACUCAAAGGUCAGGGCACCUGGAGCUGUGGGUGUUGGGAAGGGCAGGCUGUCCAAUAGGAGGGGAGAAGAGCUGUAGCACAGGUAUGGGGGGAGGGGCAAAUGAAGGUGAGGAUCAGUGUUUUCAGGGGAGGUGCUACUGAUGAAACAAGCCUUGUCCCACAGCCACCUCCUUACCCAGGUUACUUCCCACAGGGCUGGUGGCUUCACCCAAAAUUGAUGGCAGAUGGCAAAGGUCCCGGGGAGGUCCUAACUACACAACUCCCCUUGCAGGUGCUGGGAGGCCUCAUUAGAAUAGCAUGGCAUCUACAAAGCAGACAUGGUGGCACAUCGUGCCUGUGACUUAGCACUCAGGCCAGAGAAAGGAGAAAGAGGAGAUCCGGGCUAGCCUAUGCUACAUGGGAGACUGCCUCUAAUCAAAGAUUAAAAAAUAACAAAUGUCAUUCACCACUAUUUGACAAAUGGUCCAUCGUCUUCCUCAUUUUUUGAAGAA